CACUGUCGCUGUGUCGGCCGAGCACGCGCGCGCACGUGCCGCGUGUCAACACGGGAGCCCGCGCUCUCACCAGAAUCUGAGCUGUGUUCAUCGUACAACAGCAUCAGCCGUUGGAUUCAUUUUCGCAGAAAACUGUAGUGCUCUGUGAUCAAGAGGGAACACGGGAGUCCGCCAGGAGCGGCGGCUGAUGCCCCACCGCCGCCGUGGACGACGCGAGCGCGGACCAGGCCACUGCGGCGGCGGCGGCUGCCGUGCCGCCUGCAGCAGCAGCAGCAGCAGCAGGG